rnacentral:rRNA from 1 species
UUGAUAUGGCUCAGGAUGAACGCUAGCUACAGGCUUAACACAUGCAAGUCGAGGGGCAGCAGGACGAUAGCUUGCUAUUGUUGCUGGCGACCGGCGCACGGGUGAGUAACGCGUAUCCAACCUUCCCCUUAGUAGGGCAUAGCCCGGUGAAAAUCGGAUUAAUACCCUAUGUUGUGUCAUGAGGACAUCUGAAUAACACUAAAGAUUUAUCGCUAAGGGAUGGGGAUGCGUCCGAUUAGGUAGUCGGCGGGGUAACGGCCCACCGAGCCCUCGAUCGGUAGGGGUUCUGAGAGGAAGGUCCCCCACACUGGUACUGAGACACGGACCAGACUCCUACGGGAGGCAGCAGUGAGGAAUAUUGGUCAAUGGGCGUAAGCCUGAACCAGCCAAGUAGCCGUGCAGGAUGACGGCCCUAUGGGUUGUAAACUGCUUUUAUACGGGGAUAAAGUGAGGGACGUGUCCCUUAUUGUAGGUACCGUAUGAAUAAGGACCGGCUAAUUCCGUGCCAGCAGCGGC